rnacentral:sRNA from 1 species
UCUGGGCAUGGUGGCACAUGCCUGUAAUCCCAGUGGCUCUGGAGGCUGAGGCAGGAGGAUUACCAGUUCAAAACCAGCCUCAGCAAUUUAGCGAGGACCUAAGCAACUCAGUGAGACCCUGUCUCAA